rnacentral:rRNA from 1 species
AGAUGGGUUGUGCCUUAUAACCCUUACCUUCUGCGGAUGUUCAAUUGCCACAUCAACGUUGAGGUCUGCUCUAGCAUAAAGGCCGUCAAAUAUCUUUACAAGUACAUUUACAAGGGCCAUGAUAAGGCUUCUUUCAGCAUCGACCAGCCCGAUGCCGAUGGUAACAUCGAUGAGAUCAAGAGAUACGUUGACGCAAGGUGGGUCACCCCUCCGGAGGCUAUGUGGAGGAUAUUUGGCUUCCCACUUUGCGCCAAUUACCCGCCUGUCUUGCAGUUGCCUCUUCAUCUCCCAAAUAUGCACAGGGUUGCAUUCAAUGCGCAGGCUGACUUGAAGAAUGUUGUCGCCUCCGAAAAUGCUUCAAAAUCCAUGUUAACGGAGUAUUUCAAGGCUAACCAGGAACACCCUCGGGCUAGGCAUAUAUUGUACAAGGAUUUUCCCGGAAGCUUCACGUGGCAGAAGAAAAAGAAGUUU